UACGUAGGGUGCGAGCGUUAAUCGGAAUUACUGGGCGUAAGCGUGCGCAGGCGGUUUGUUAAGACAGAUGUGAAAUCCCCGGGCUUAACCUGGGAAUGGCGAUGGAGACUGCAAGGCUGGAGUUUGGCAGAGGGGGGUAGAAGUUCCACGUGUAGCAGUGAAAUGCGUAGAGAUGUGGAGGAACACCGAUGGCGAAGGCAGCCCCCUGGGUCAAGAUUGACGCUCAUGCACGAAAGCGUGGGGAGCAAACAGG
rnacentral:rRNA from 1 species